CCUACGGGUGGCUGCAGUGGGGAAUUUUGGACAAUGGGGGCAACCCUGAUCCAGCCAUUCCGCGUGAGUGAAGAAGGCCUUCGGGUUGUAAAGCUCUUUUGUCCGGAGCGAAACGGGCGGCCCUAAUACGGUCGUCUACUGACGGUACCGGAAGAAUAAGCACCGGCUAACUACGUGCCAGCAGCCGCGGUAAUACGUAGGGUGCGAGCGUUAAGCGGAGUUUCUGGGCGCGAUUCUUGCGCCGGCGGUUGAACUCCCCGGGCUCAACCUGGGAAUGGCAUUUGGGACUGCAAGGCUGGAGUGUGGCAGAGGGGACUAGAAUUCCUGGUGUAGCAGUGAAAUGCGUAGAUAUCAGGAGGAAUACCGAUGGCGAAGGCAGGUCCCUGGGUUAACACUGACGCUCAUGCACGAAAGCGUGGGGAGCAAACAGGAUUAGAUACCCCGGUAGUC
rnacentral:rRNA from 1 species